UGUGUGCGUUCGUGUGUGUGUGUGUGUGCGCUGCGUGGUGACGUAGGCGCGUGCAUGUGUGCCCCGGUCACAGCUCCUUUCAGCAUGGCCGGAGGUAAGUCACUGCCACGUUGCUCUCAGCUAAUUAAAGUUUGUUCAGAUCCCAAGCUGCCAUGUGAAUACAGCCGAACCGCCGCGUUUUUGUUUGUCAUUAAGAGACUCAUUCGGGAUAAGUUUUGUGGAGGGCGGAGUUCGCUAAUAUACGCUUAUAAUGAGUUUUAGCCGAGAACGCAGCUGAAAUGCACUCUUUUUUUCCUUCGUCAGGAGAGGUGUACUGGCAGUCGCGUGACACACACAGAACAGACACAUAUUUCUGUGUUGCAGAUGUGCAGUAAAGAGCCAAAGACCCAGUACUGUCUCCUGCCUCUUACUUUCACGCCAGAACACAACGCAUUGACGGGCGUAACACAUGAAUGGGUUACAUAUGUGACAAUAAAGUUUGCUUGUUGCUGUUCAGUUUGAAUUCUUGUUUAUCCUUAGCCUCUCCUUUUGUUUAAUAUAUAGAUUUGAUUGUGAUGUAUUCUGUAGUAUCAGUUCUUAUUAUACUUUGUUACUAGUUACCAGUUGUGUUUAUAGAGUUUAAUUAGCAUUAACAGAGCUCCCCCCAUCUCAUCCUUCUGUCUUCCCCUCUGCUAAGUUCACUUAUGUCCUGUCUGUCUCUUUUUCAGUGCGGUUGUUAUUCAUUCCCCGAUUUACAUGGGUAGACAUUUGUUUCCUGUCUUUUGCAUUUAAUUUUACUUCUCCUUCUAUCCCAUUGUUGUUGUCUCCAUGAUUACUGUUUUUUGUAUGAAUAAUGACGUCUUUCCCUCAGUCCUUGCCUUAGUAUCCUGUUUAUUUUCCUGUCUCGUCCUCUUUGCGUUCUUCAGGCUCUUUUGGGUAAUUUCCAUCUGUUCAUACAGUUUGUUAUUUUGCUUUUAGUAACUUGGCAACAGUCAAAAGCCUCUACAUUUUCCACACAGUCUUUAAUCCCUGCAUAUAGUGACAAAUCGAGAUAUUCCUCAGAGGUGUAUUUGUAAGCAUAUAUCAUGUACUUCAUUAUUUUUGCACCACUACUAGCAAUAAAGUACCUUAUAAAGUGGCUGAUGUGUGUGUAUAACUAAAUAUCAAAUAUGAGUUUUGCUGAAUGCUUGUCUGGAAGUUUUUAACAGCUGCUUUUUAGUAAAAAACAAAACAAACAACAACCCUUAAGUUAACUCAUUCACUGCCAUUGACGUCUAUAGCCGUCAAUGGCAGUGAAUGAGUCAAUGGGUUUAACUCAUUCACUGCCAAUGGCUGGCAGUGAAUGAGUUAAGCUAAUAAUGCUUAGAAUUAAUUCUUUUGUAUUCCAGUUUAUUUCACUCUCCCCCUGAACUGUCUUGCAAGUAUACACCUCACUGGACUCAUCAUAACUGAGCAUCGAGUUGUGUUAAACAAACACAUUUCCUUGUUCUUAAAGAGUCCUUACCUUUAGCAACCAUCAUCCUUCAGUGCUGAGUUACGUCCUCUAACAGUUUGCAUAUUUUUUUCCUUUGUCUUUUACUCUCAACAGCAACAUCCUGAUUUAAUUUCCCAAUGCAAAUCUCUGUGCUGUUCUGUGCAAUGCAAUUCUUAAGAUUCUGCUACUUCUCAGUGUCAAGCUGACCCUACUGAAUGGAAGACUUCAUAUUGUCUUACUCUGUCUCCAUAUAAUCCUUCACAUAUAAAACCUGUUGCUGUACCAGUUUUGUUUUAUGACACAAUAUUCUCACAUAUAUAACUUGUUUAUAUAAAUACCAUUAACAAAAACAUACAGACUGCUGUCAUAGAAAUACAGAGCUGUGUUUCAUGGUGAAGGUGAAUGUUUUACUCUGGAAAUUACAAUAAAGGAGAUGAAAGAAGAUGCCGCAGACGUGUGAACUUAGUUGUAUAAUGCAGUGAAGACGAGUCGGUGUCACAAUGAGACUGGGCCAUGUGAAAUCACCAUCAUGUUUGACAGAGGGGAGCCGGGGGAAGGCAGCUGCAUUCAUAUACAAGUUUCGACAUGACUUGGAAGACCACGGAGUGUGUACUUCAUAGAGCUCAGUGAAAUUAAAUAUAAAAAUAACCCAUUUAAAAUCCUGUCUCUCUUUUUUCCUGUAAGACAAAAAAAAUGCCCCCUUC
ensembl:lncRNA